ensembl:lncRNA
UUUGUUUAUUUUAAUUGGAGACUAAUUACUUUACAAUAUUGUGGUGUUUUUUGCCAUACAUUGGCAUGAAUCAGCCAUGGUAUACAUGUGUCCCCCAUCCUGAACCCUCCUCCCUCUUCGCUCCCAUCCCUCAGGGUCAUCCCAGUGCACCGGCCCUGAGCAGCCAGUCUCAUGCAUCGAACCUGGACUGGCCAUCUAUUUCACAUAUGAAUUGAUGCUUUUGAACUGUGGUGUUGGAGAAGACUCUUGAGAGUCCCUUGGACUGCAAGGAGAUCCAACCAGUCCAUUCUGAAGGAGAUCAGCCCUGGGACUUCUUUGGAAGGAAUGAUGCUAAAGCUGAAACUCCAGUACUUUGGCCACCUCAUGCGAAGAGUUGACUCACUGGAAAAGACUCUGAUGCUGGGAGGGAUUGGGGGGCAGGAGGAGAAGGGGACGACAGAGGAUGAGAUGGCUGGAUGGCAUCACUGCCUCGAUGGACGUGAAUCUGAGUGAACUCCGGGAGUUGGUGAUGGACAGGGAGGCCUGGCGUGCUGCAAUUCAUGGGGUCACAAAGAGUUGGACACGACUGAGCGACUGAACUGAACUGUAGCUAGGGGUCAUUGAGAAAUCCUGAAGGCCUACCCCUCCUGGAAAGAUACUUUAAUCCCUGACUGAGACCUGAGAGAAGAGGAUAUUCUGUUUUCUUGCCCACGUGUGCCAGGAGUGGAGCUUCAGUCAUGCUGAACUGGGGUGGGGGAGGUUGUGGGUCUUUUCUCAAGUGUCACAGACUCUUCUUAUUGAGAUUUAGAUUUUCUUGAAUAAAUGUUUUUGUGUUUGCUCUAUGCCCAUAAGACAGUUUCCAGCGAGUGUUAAAUCACUGCCUGUGUCUUAAAAGUAAUUUUCACCACUUAUGGGUACUUCAUUUGGGAGUGGAUCUUCACAGCUCUUCACAUUGCCACUGGGAAAUGGAACCUCCUUCCUCUUUAAAAUAACUCUAUUACAUUGCAUUGAACGGACCAUACUUUAUUUAACUAGUUAACAGGUUAUUUAAAAACAAUGCUCCAAUUAAUAACCGCUUGUAUAU